UAUGCAUGCUUUAAAAAUCCCCUAAGUUUAUGUAAUUUUGUUAAUACAAAUAUAUUAGUUUUAAAUCACUUCUACGGCAGAUAAACAUGAACAUCUACCAUCAUCAUGAAAUGCAAGUUCUGUAUUGAAUAAAAGUCAAAUGUUGAUUUGAAUUUUUCAGCACCUGAUAGAAACUGGCUACUUCAAGCGCCUAACAAAGACUGGAUAAUUCCUGAGAGGUAUUUGGUUUCUUUUUCAAUGGGUGGUCUUGCCAUCACAUUUUUCUCGGAUUUACUUAUUGCAUCUGGUACCAUUAGCAGAAGACACAUAUUUGGAUCCAGCAUAAGCAAUUUAUUAGCAGUAUGGUUGCUUUUUACAGUUCUUAUUAUAUAUGGAUUAAAAUCAGAUUCAACAGCAUACUAUGUGGCAUUUGAUUGUGAGAUAAUAUCGUUGAUUCUGUCAUUCUUCAGUAGUUUUUGUCGAUUCACAAUCUGUAGAGGAGAAAAAAAUGGACCUUAUGAGCGCAUAAAGGAAAGGUCAUUUCGGGUUAAUUCAUAGUCAUAUGUAAAAAUAAUUCAGAAUCAUAGUCAUAAAUCAUGUCAAAUUGUACAAAGUAACUUUGGAUUUUUAAACCUUCACCGUAUACUAGUUCCUUCGUUUGUGAUACAACUAUAUUGCAAUGAACUUAAAAUGAAGAAAAAAAACCAAAUGUGAAACAUUUUUUAUAACUAAAUAUGGUUCUAUAUAAAUGGUUUUGCUACAUUUUACAGUAAUGGCGGGCAUGAUGUAUUUAAAUGUAGUUAAUGUUAUGCAUUCACCUAUAUGUGUUCAUAUUAUGUAUAUUGAGAUGUAAUUGUUAUGUUGUUUUUAUAUACUUGAUGAAUAAGAAUUGCUUUAUA